GACAAAAUAGCCUAUUUGCAGAUCUCUAAACUUGGCAAAGCAUUGUCCGCUGCUGUUUCUGUGUUGUUCCCCAUUCCUGGAAUGCACCGCCUUGUCACCGCUGCCUCUUAGAAUGCCUAGUCUCUGCUCAAGUUUCAGGUUGUUCAAGUUUCAGUUUGUUUUUGUGCCACCUCCUCUGGUGAGGGAAUUAUGAGAAUUGAGUGAACCACUCUGUCUUCAUCUUAUGCUCGAUCUAGAUAAAGUGUUGUAUAACCACAUCUCUUCCAUAUUGAACUUGUGAGAUUGAUUUUUUGAAAAAUGGAAGUGUAACUCGGUCUUGUCUGGGCGUGCUAGUCUCACCUAACAUGGAGGUCUC